UGCAUUUUGGACCUUGUUAUUAAUGGCCCUCAUUAUGUGUAAAAAGUAUAUUUGUGUUAUAUAUUAUUUUUAAAAAAUGAAUUAAAGGCUAAUUAAUAAAUGAAGUUAGUGUUUUGUGUUUUUGGUGCAGGUCUAUAGGCAAUGAUAUCAUGGAUUUGUUUGCUAAAAUGAAUUUUUAUGGUCAUUUGAAAGAUAUUUGUGGGCUUUCACAAAUUUUUAUAUAAAAUACAAUGGAAUGAAUUCAUAGCAAAGUAAGAAAGAUAAAUUUCCUGUAAAAGUUGAGGGGGAAAUUUGAUGACACCACAAAUCCAAACAAAUAUGUCUACAAAGGCCUCAUCCAGAAACAAUGUUGCCACAAACAAAAUUUCCCUUUUAUUUAUAAGAUUUAAAUAAAAUUUAAUGCUUUUAGCACCCUUUACUAUGGAAAGGUGUCUGCUAUAAUUGGAUACUAUGGAUCUGCUAUAAUUGGGCAUUGAGAGACAUUGACUUCCCAGAGAGAAAUUUACCUUGGCUCUAAAGAGGCGAGCAGAUCAAAUAAGAUUAUAUAAUUUCUCAAAACUGAAAAAGGGCAGAAAAUGGCUUAAAGGUGUAUUAAUUAGUGAAUCUUCUGAUUCUGGAGAAGAUAGUGAUCCAGUUAGUGAGCAUGGACUUCAAGAUAUGUUAAAAUAUCAUAAAUUAAUUAAAGCUGCUCAAGAAGAAUAUCAUGCUGAUACUGAGUUAAAACAUUAUCAAUAUUAUAGUGCAGGCUUACUGUCAAAUCAUGAUAGAUUUUAUGAACAUCAGAAACUUAUGUUAGGAGGAAAGAAGAAGUUAAAAGAUAAAAGAAUAGAAAAGAAAAAAUGUAAAUU